AAUGGAAUACCCUAUUACGGGUGUUUUCCAUUCCAAGCUUAAGCAGAGAUUUUUGGGGAUUUCUAUUUCGUUCCCUCUUCACCGUUUAGCUAUUCUUGCUUGAAGAACCCUAUUCUACCCUUACCAAAAUUUCACCUCAAAAACACUCUCAAUCAGCAAGUAUUUCACAUACCAUUUGACUCCGGCAUUCCUCCCCUUCAUCCAAGGUCAGCUUUUUGAAAGAAUUUUAGAAAUUCCAGCCACAUGGCUUAAAGGAGGAGCCACCGUUGAGGUUCACUUUUGCAUGUCAAGGGGGGAGACAUUUCCUAAUCUUCAUGGACAGCUUGAUGUGACAGGGUUGGCCUUCCAGAUAUACGAUGCUCCAUCAUGGUUUUCUAUUAUCACUCUAUCUGCAAAUGAUGCAUAGAUUAUCUUGUUGAUGCUUUGGAUUAUGCAAUGUCAAAGUUGUGAGCAAAAGGGCUUAUCUAACUUGUGGAUCCUUUGUUUGGUGAAGUACUUAUUUGGCUUGUUUGAUUGCUUCCUCACCCAGAGUUGAGCAUCUUGUACUCACCAGCUCACUGUAAGUUCUUGUUUAUUAGGAUCUGAAUCAGACCAAUCAAGAAAUUAUUGGAAUUUAAUUAUAGAUUUGAUAAAUUACCUUAUAUUAUGUUUGAAAUGAAGAAAAUAAUUUUUAUUAAAUAAAAUCCAGAAUUUGUAUUCAAGUACUUGCUAAGAUUUUCAACUUCAAAUACCCAA